rnacentral:lncRNA from 1 species
GAGGGGGGAGUUUGGGAGUAAGAAGGAUGCUUGAAUGAAUCAAAUAUUAUUAUGCUAUGUGCGUAUAUGAUUACACAAAAGUUUAACUCUACAUCAUGUACAACCAGAAGCAUGAGAAGUUAGUUAUACCCCAUUUAUGUCUGAUGUGUCAAAAUGCAUUCUACUAUCAUGUAUAAGUAAUAAAAAAAUUAUAUAAAAGAAAAUGUGGUAUAUAUAUACACACACAAUGAAGUUUUACUGGGUCAUAAAAAAGAAUGACAUUAUGGCAUUUGCUGGAAAACAAUGGAAAUGGCAAACACCAUGCUAAAUUAAAUAAGCUGGUCUCAGAAAAUUAAGGGUCAAAUGUUUUCUGUCUUAUGUGGAAGCUAGACCAAAUAAGGGAAAAAGAAGAGAUGGUUGAAUAUCAUAAAGAUACAGGGAAAAUCAGUGGAGUAGAAGAAGGAAAUCAAAAAGGAGGAGUAGCUGGAGUGGUGGCUCAGUAGUAGAGCACUUGCCUAGCAUGUGUGAGGCACUGGGUUUGAUUCUCAGCACCACAUAUAAAUAAAUGAACAAAAUAAAGGUCCAUGAGUGUCUAAAAAAGGAG